rnacentral:lncRNA from 1 species
UGGCAGAGUUGUAAUAAAAGUAAGACAUAUUAUGACGUAGUUCUAUAUAUCAGUCAUAAUAUGAAAUGCGGUGGCAAAUUUGUAAAUAAAUUUAAGACAUAUUAUGACGUAAUUUUAUACAUCAGUCAUAAUAUAUAAAAGCGAUGGCAAACUUGUAAUUAACUUCAAAACUUAUUAUUACCUAGAUAUGAAUAUACGUUAUAAUAUGUUAAAUAAUUUUUUCUCUUUCACCUCCCUCUCGGCCCUUCUCAUCUCUUUCACGAUCUCUCUCACUUACACUCUUCAUCCUCUCAUUCUCUCUAAAAUUAGAAAUUAGGUUUUCUUGCUUUUCUUGCUCCACGCCGUGCUUUUUUUUGCUCUGAGAACACGCCUCCUCCGCGACACACAAGGAGCCGCCAUCAAUUAGGUUUUCGUCUCCUCCAC